UGGGGAAUAUUGCGCAAUGGACGAAAGUCUGACGCAGCGACGCCGCGUGAGGGACGAAGGUCUUCGGAUCGUAAACCUCUGUCAGAAGGGAAGAAGUGUAUGGGUAGUAACUGACCUGUACUUGACGGUACCUUCAGAGGAAGCACCGGCUAACUCCGUGCCAGCAGCCGCGGUAAUACGGAGGGUGCGAGCGUUAAUCGGAAUUACUGGGCGUAAAGCGCGCGUAGGCGGCUUUGUAAGUCAGGGGUGAAAUCCCACGGCUCAACCGUGGCAUUGCCUUUGAUACUGCAGAGCUUGAGUGCGGGAGAGGGUGGUGGAAUUCCAGGUGUAGGAGUGAAAUCCGUAGAGAUCUGGAGGAACAUCAGUGGCGAAGGCGACCACCUGGCCCGAUACUGACGCUGAGGUGCGAAAGCGUGGGUAGCAAACA
rnacentral:rRNA from 1 species